rnacentral:rRNA from 1 species
UUGGAGGGCAAGUCUGGUGCCAGCAGCCGCGGUAAUUCCAGCUCCAAUAGCGUAUAUUAAAGUUGUUGCAGUUAAAAAGCUCGUAGUUGAAUUUCGGGAUCAGAGUGUCGGUCGUGCCUCGGUACGCACUGGUAUUAUUGGUUCCUACCUUCUGAAGAACCGCGAUGUCAUUAAUUUGGUGUCGUGGGGAAUCAGGACUGUUACUUUGAAAAAAUUAGAGUGUUUAAAGCAGGCUUACGCUUGAAUACAUUAGCAUGGAAUAAUGAAAUAGGACGUUUGAUUCUAUUUUGUUGGUUUCUAGGAUUGACGUAAUGAUUAAUAGGGAUAGUUGGGGGCAUUAGUAUUCAAUUGUCAGAGGUGAAAUUCUUGGAUUUAUUGAAGACUAACUACUGCGAAAGCAUUUGCCAAGGAUGUUUUCAUUAAUCAAGAACGAAAGUUAGGGGAUCGAAGACGAUCAGAUACCGUCGUAGUCUUAACCAUAAACUAUGCCGACUAGGGAUCGGAUGAUGUCAAUUUUUUAAUGACUCGUUCAGCACCUUACGGGAAACCAAAGUGUUUGGGUUC